rnacentral:tRNA from 1 species
GGAGCUUGGCCCAGUGAUAGAGCGUCUGCUUUGUCUGCGGAUGGCCCCAGGUUCAAUCCCCAGCAUCUCUG